AUUGAACGCUGGCGGCAGGCUUAACACAUGCAAGUCGAGCGAGCGGCGGACGGGUGAGUAAUGUCUGGGAAACUGCCUGAUGGAGGGGGAUAACUACUGGAAACGGUAGCUAAUACCGCAUACCAUCAGAUGUGCCCAGAUGGGAUUAGCUAGUAGCUGGGGUAAUGGCUCACCUAGGCGACGAUCCCUAGCUGGUCUGAGAGGAUGACCAGGCACACUGGAACGGAGGCACGGUCGAGACUGCUAAGGGAGGCACGAGUGGGGAAUAUGGCACAAUGGGCGCAAGCCUGAGGCAGCCAUGCCGGGGGUGUGAAGAAGGCCUUCGGGUUGUAAAGCACGUUCAGCGAGGAGGCGUUACUCGCAGAAGAAGCACCGGCUAACUCCGUGCCAGCCGCCGCGGUAAUAC
rnacentral:rRNA from 1 species